rnacentral:tRNA from 1 species
AUGGAUAUCGUAUAGUGGUUAUUACUCCCGACUUCCAAUCGGAAAACACCAGUUCGAGUCUGGUUAUCCAUA